rnacentral:rRNA from 1 species
CAUAUGGAUUCCUACGGGAGGCAGCAGUGGGGAAUAUUGGACAAUGGGCGCAAGCCUGAUCCAGCAACGCCGCGUGGAGGAUGAAGGUCUUCGGAUCGUAAACUCCUGUCAGGCGGGACGAAGGGACGCCGGCGAACAGUCGGUGUCCUUGACGGUACCGCCAGAGGAAGCCCCGGCUAACUCCGUGCCAGCAGCCGCGGUAAUACGGAGGGGGCGAGCGUUAUUCGGAAUUAUUGGGCGUAAAGGGCGCGUAGGCGGCCUGGUAAGUCAAAGGUGAAAUCCCUCGGCUCAACUGAGGAAUUGCCUUUGAAACUGCUGGGCUUGAGUCCGGGAGGGGGUAGCGGAAUUCCCAGUGUAGCGGUGAAAUGGCGUAGAUACUGGGAGGAACACCGGUGGCGAAGGCGGCUACCUGGACCGGUUCUGACGCUGCGCGAAAGCGUGGGGAGCAAACAAGAUUAGAUACCCUGGUAGUCCACCCCGUAAACGAUGGGUGCUCGGUGUCGCGGGUAUCGACCCCUGCGGUGCCUUAGCUAACGCGUUAAGCACCCCCCCUGGGGAGUACGGUCGCAAGGCUGAAACUCAAAGGAAUUAACGGGGGCCCGCACAACCGGUGGAGCAUGUGGUUU